UACGAAAGGUGCAAGCGUUGUUCGGAUUUACUGGGCGUAAAGAGAGUGUAGGUGGUUUAUUAAGUCGGAUGUGAAAUCCCGGGGCUCAACCUCGGAACUGCAUUCGAUACUGAUAGGCUAGAGUUUGGGAGGGGUAAGCGGAAUUCCGUGUGUAGUAGUGAAAUGCGUAGAUAUACGGAGGAACACCUGAGGCGAAGGCGGCUUACUGGACCAAUACUGACACUGAGACUCGAAAGCGUGGGUAGCAAACAGGAUUAGAAACCCCUGUAGUCC
rnacentral:rRNA from 1 species